GGCUGUUGGAGUGAGGCUUUGGUAGACAUGGCUCCCAACGUGUUGGCUUCCGAACCGGAGGUUCCGAAGGGCAUCCGGGCCGUGUUGCUGGGGCCGCCCGGGGCUGGCAAGGGGACGCAGGCACCCAAACUGGCUGAAAACUUUUGUGUCUGUCAUUUGGCCACCGGGGACAUGCUGAGAGCCAUGGUAACUUCUGGCUCGGAGCUAGGAAAAAAGCUGAAGGCGACAAUGGAUGCAGGGAAACUGGUGAGUGACGAGAUGGUUGUGGAGCUAAUUGAGAAGAAUUUGGAGACUCCUUCAUGCAAAAAUGGCUUUCUUCUAGAUGGCUUCCCUCGGACUGUGAGGCAGCCUGAAAUGCUUGAUGACCUCAUGGAGAAGAGGAAAGAGAAGCUCGAUUCAGUCAUUGAGUUCAGCAUCCAGGACUCGCUGCUGAUCCGGAGGAUCACUGGGAGGCUGAUUCACCCCAAGAGUGGCCGGUCCUACCAUGAGGAGUUCAACCCUCCAAAGGAGCCCAUGAAAGAUGAUAUCACCGGGGAGCCCCUGAUCCGCAGGUCAGAUGACAACGAGAAAGCCUUGAAGACCCGCCUGGAGGCCUACCACACUCAGACCACUCCACUCGUGGAGUACUACAGGAAACGCGGCAUUCACUGUGCCAUCGAUGCGUCCCAGACCCCUGAUAUCGUGUUUGCGAGCAUCCUGGCAGCCUUCUCCAAAGCCACAUCCUAGUAACAGAAGGCCAGGCGAGACAGCACCCCUGCUCAUCUCCCCGCCGUGGGAUCCCUGCUCUUAGGUGCUGGGCAGAGGGAAGAGGGUGGUCAUGGGAAGGAAGGAUGGAUGGAUGGAUGGAUGGUGAGGGAGGUGGGGAGGGGCUCCUCGAGAGAAGAUUUGGAACAGUGGCAGUGUUAUAAUUAGUAAGUUU